AUUGAACGCUGGCGGCAGGCCUAACACAUGCAAGUCGAGCGGAGCGACUGACGGGCGAGUAAUGCCUAGGAAUCUGCCUGGCAGUGGGGGAUAACGUACGGAAAGGGGCGCUAGUACCUCCAACUAUCAGUUGAGCCUUGGCCGGUGUAGCUAGUGGGUGGGGUAAAGGCCUACCAAGGCGACGAUCCGUACCUGGUCUGAGAGGAUGAUCAGGCACACUGGAACUGAGAGACGGUCCAGACUCCGACGGGAGGCAGCAGUGGGGAAUAUUGGACAAUGGGCGAAAGCCUGAUCCAGCCAUGCCGGGUGUGUGAAGAAGGUCUUCGGAUUGUAAAGCACUUUAAGUUGGGAGGCGUUACCAACAGAAUAAGCACCGGCUAAAUCCGUGCCAGCAGCCGCGGUAAUUC
rnacentral:rRNA from 1 species